rnacentral:rRNA from 1 species
UAAUACGGAGGGUGCAAGCGUUAUCCGGAUUUAUUGGGUUUAAAGGGUCCGUAGGCGGAUCUGUAAGUCAGUGGUGAAAUCUCAUAGCUUAACUAUGAAACUGCCAUUGAUACUGCAGGUCUUGAGUAAGGUAGAAGUAGCUGGAAUAAGUAGUGUAGCGGUGAAAUGCAUAGAUAUUACUUAGAACACCAAUUGCGAAGGCAGGUUACUAUGUCUUAACUGACGCUGAUGGACGAAAGCGUGGGGAGCGAACAGGAUUAGAUACCCUGGUAGUCCACGCUGUAAACGAUGCUAACUCGUUUUUGGGUUUUCGGAUUCAGAGACUAAGCGAAAGUGAUAAGUUAGCCACCUGGGGAGUACGAACGCAAGUUUGAAACUCAAAUGAAUUGACGGG